rnacentral:rRNA from 1 species
GAAAUGCGAUAAGUAAUGUGAAUUGCAGAAUUCAGUGAAUCAUCGAAUCUUUGAACGCACCUUGCGCUCCUUGGUACUCCGAGGAGCAUGCCUGUUUGAGUGUCAUUAAUUUCUCAAAAACUUGUCAUUAUGAUAAAUAUGACAGAUUUUUGGUCUAUGGGAAUUGCGGGAUCCUGUAAUGGGAGCCAGCUCUCUUCAAAUGGAUGAGCAGAGUCAAACAUAACGUUCUAUUGGCAUGAUAAGAUAAAGUCAUUGCCGGUAAAAGAGCUGAUUGUUUUGAGUAUCUGCUAUAUUCUUUACUAGUCCUAUUGGACGAAUYGAUAAAAUUGACCUCAAAUCAGGUAGGAUUACCCGCUGAACUUAA